ACCUUGAUGGCAUAGUGGGUAAGUGCUGUGGCUGCUAACCAAGAGGUCGGUGGUUCAAAUCCACCAGGUG
rnacentral:tRNA from 1 species